AUUCCCCUAGUAGCGGCGAGCGAAGCGGGAAGAGCUCAAAUUUAUAAUCUGGCACCUUCGGUGUCCGAGUUGUAAUCUCUAGAAGUGUUUUCCGCGUUGGACCGCACACAAGUCUGUUGGAAUACAGCGGCAUAGUGGUGAAACCCCCGUAUAUGGUGCGGACGCCCAGCGCUUUGUGAUACACUUUCAAUGAGUCGAGUUGUUUGGGAAUGCAGCUCAAAUUGGGUGGUAAAUUCCAUCUAAAGCUAAAUAUUGGCGAGAGACCGAUAGCGAACAAGUACCGUGAGGGAAAGAUGAAAAGCACUUUGGAAAGAGAGUUAACAGUACGUGAAAUUGUUGGAAGGGAAACGCUUGAAGUCAGACUUGCUUGCCGGAGCUUGCUUCGGUUUGCAGGCCAGCAUCAGUUUUCCGGGGUGGAUAAUGACGGUUUGAAGGUAGCAGUCUCGGCUGUGUUAUAGCUUUCCGUUGGAUACAUCCUGGGGGACUGAGGAACGCAGCGUGCUUUUUGCGAAAGACUCGUCUUUUUCACGCUUAGGAUGCUGGUGGAAUGGCUUUAAACGACCCGUCUUGAAACACGGACCAAGGAGUCUAACAUGCUCGCGAGUAUUUGGGUGUCAAACCCGGAUGCGCAAUGAAAGUGAAUGUAGGUGGGAACCGCAAGGUGCACCAUCGACCGAUCUGGAUUUUUUAAGAUGGAUUUGAGUAAGAGCGCGUAUGUUGGGACCCGAAAGAUGGUGAACUAUGCCUGAAUAGGGCGAAGCCAGAGGAAACUCUGGUGGAGGCUCGUAGCGGUUCUGACGUGCAAAUCGAUCGUCAAAUUUGGGUAUAGGGGCGAAAGACUAAUCGAACCAUCUAGUAGCUGGUUCCUGCCGAU
rnacentral:rRNA from 1 species